UAAAUAGAUUAAACAAUUUUAAAAAAUUAAAAAUAAAAUAAAUCCUAAAUCCCCAAAUGUGUUGCUGCUAUAUCAUCUUGUUCAGCAACCAGAUUGAAAAAUCCUAUUUAACAAAUUAGACACCUAACCUGGAGGAGAAAAGAUAAUACAAGGUACGGCAAGGCAACGAUUGAACCAUGUUACUUCGAUUGGGAGUAGUAGUGAUUUUGUAGCUUCCAAUUUCAGAAGGAAGGAUGUGAUGAAGUAAUUGUGGACUCAAUGUGGUGAUGUUGGAAUCUGACACUAUGAACAAUCCUGGGAGAUGGUUCAUCUGUUGUCCUUUAUGAGCGGUGGUUGGUGUGUUUGGUCAGAACACUAAUGGGGGCAAAAAAAGGACGAGGUUGAAGCUACUACUUAACUGAGAGAAUUCAGAUGAAGCGAUAAUAAUGAGACAAAGAAGAAGAUUGUGACGAAAAUGGGGAAGCUUAAAGCGGAAAUUCAAUAUAUGAAACUGUGGCUUGUUAUGCUUUUUCUGGGUUUGUUAAGUGUGUUUCAUCAUGAACUUCUUGUUAGUGUUUAGAGUGAAGUAAGGGCUCUGAUAGAAGAUGAUAAUGAUUUAGGGUUGAAUCUGUCUUCUCUUUGAAUCGUGUAGUUGUUGAUGUUUGUAUGAAACGAGAAUGAAAACUUUGACAAUUAUAGUCA